rnacentral:rRNA from 1 species
CCGCUGGAUUCGGUCGGCGGGGUCCGGCGGAGGUUGCUCUGUUAGGCGCAGGGUGGUGGUGCUCGCCCUCCCCCCGCGGUGCUGCCGUCCGCUUUGGCUGUGUGGUGCUGCCUUCUGGCAGCGCUGCGCGUGGGCGGCGUGCCUGCCGGCCUCGGUUUGGUUCGGUUCUGGUGGGGAGCGGCGGGGGCAUGUUGGAUCUUGCCGGAUCUGGCUUGCAGUGGCCCGGAUCUGGUCAUGUGUGGCGGCGGGGCUGCAGUGGCCCUUCUCUGUGGUGGUGCAGCGAGCAGUGCUUCAUGAUCAAAAUCGAUGCUAUUUUGGAGAUGGUCUGCUCACUUGGACGAAAGUCCUGCUCCUGUCGGAGCCGGCGACGGCGACGCCUGCGGUGCGCGAACCUCCUUGGAGGCGGCGCUGUCAUGGUGGCUGUCUCUUCGAAAAACUCCGGGGAAAUCCAUGUUCCAGGUUCGUCUGGGGCGGACGAUGGCAGCGCAUUUUUGCGUCGCGUCGCUUCUUGAAGGCAUCAUCUGGGUUCAGCUCGGUUGGUCUCUGUGGUGGCUGCUCGUUGCGGAUUUGAUGGUGGUGGUGGUGCGGCCGGCUUGGGGUCGACGGUGGUGUGUGCUCUGUUGGCGAGGAGGUGGUGCUCUGUCUGCGAGAUCUUGGCUCAGCCAUGCGUCGGAAUGGGUUUGAUUUUCAUCCGAAGCCGGGUUAGCGGGGGCGUUAUCCUACUCAAUGGAUCACCUCGUUCCCAUACGACACCUCUACCUCUGCGGGGUGUUGUUGGGUGGCGACCAGACGGCCAACGUUCAAGGCUCUUAUCCUUGCUUGGUCAGAUGAAGAUGUAAGUUGAGGUCCUUCUCCUUGCUGGUUGUGCUGAUGAGAUUUGUUAUGCGGUCGGUGGGUGGUGUUGCGUCCAGCUUCGGAUCAUCGGAAAGGCCUUCUUCUGUGCCUUUUCCUCGGCGGGUCUUCCGGAGGUUCGUCGGUUAUAUCUCUUCUCUUGUUUCCCCCGUGUACUCUGGUUCACUUGAACCUAUCUUGUAUGGAGCCGUGAGGCUUCUAGGCAAAUUCAAAUGAAUAUAUUCAGG